GCCCCUGUGGUGUAGCGGUAGAGCACACAAACCGGGAUAGGAUGAAACGCGGGUUCGAUUCCCGCCUGAGACC